GCCGUCUCGCCCCUGACCUCUAUUGCAACGCCGUGCCCUGUGCCCCUGUCUACCCACGCCAUUUCCAACCUCGACAGCGGCCAUCGCGCCCGCACUGGCCUGGGUGAGACACCCAUACCAGCAGGCCACAAGCAAUGAGGAAAUCCAACGAUAUUGAAGCUUUUCUAAGAGGAAUUUUAUAGUACUUGAGAAGGUACCAAGUACCAAAUCUCUGCUGUUGAUUUCUUAAGAUCCUAUGGAAUGUGUCAUAUUGAAAUUAUGUAUUAUGAAUUAUUUUUGAAAUGUUGCAGCAAGAUCAGCCUCUAAAAUAUGAUCAUAUGAUUGCAAUCAGAUAGUGAUGAGCACAUCAGUCAAGACAUGAAGAAGAUCAUGAGAUAAAUUUGCCUGUUAAGAGAGCCUAAGUGGUGAAGCUCAUUCAACCACAGAUGCGGCAAACAUGGAUGAUGUUUUUUUAGGUUGAUUUCAAUAACUACAUGCUGAAGUGCAAAUCCGUAUAUCUGUCCUAUAAUCAUAUUCUUAAAUGAGGAGAUGGUCAGGGUACAUUUUAAAGCAAAGACAUGCUCAAGCAAAGAAAAUAUCAGGAUAAGGGAGGCUUAAGCUGAUUCUGAAUAUAUGGUGUGUUGGAGGAAGAGCAAGAUACGCGCUGAACGACAUGAUCGAACUGUAGCUCUUGCUCAGCGAGUACAAAAGCCAAAGAAGGAUUCGAGCAGGCAGCGCCAAACUUCUGAGAUCAAACAUGCUGAGAAAUGCGAAAAAACAACACCCACAAACUUCUGACAAGAACGAAAAUUUGAAAGUGAAGUGGCUGUUGUGGAAAUGUUAGUACUUACAAGUUCCCCCUAAUGCUCGAUUGCCAUAUGCGAACUUUUAUAGGUGAAAUCAUAUGGUGUAUCAAGCCAUUGAUGUUUUCCCUUUUUGCCGAUGUGUUGUAAAGUGGCAGGGUUAUGUAAUUCUAUAGGUUAGGUUAAAAUUGACAUCUCAUUACUGUAAUGCUGCAAUUUCAGUCAGUGGAAUAUCAAUUAUUUGGGUUAUUUAGAAAGAUAAAUACAGCUGAUGGGUACACUAUGUGAUUUUGUAUAAAGACAGUUUGUUUCUUUCUCC